rnacentral:rRNA from 1 species
AUUGAACGCUGGCGGCAUGCUUUACACAUGCAAGUCGAACGGUAACAGGCCUUCGGGUGCUGACGAGUGGCGAACGGGUGAGUAAUGCAUCGGAACGUACCCAGAGGUGGGGGAUAACGCAGCGAAAGCUGUGCUAAUACCGCAUGUGAUCUGAGGAUGAAAGCGGGGGACCGAGCAGCAAUGUUUGGCCUCGCGCCUUUGGAGCGGCCGAUGUCGGAUUGGUUAGUUGGUGGGGUAAAGGCCGACCAAGGCGACGAUCCGUAGCUGGUCUGAGAGGACGACCAGCCACACUGGGAUUGAGACACGGCCCAGACUCCUACGGGAGGCAGCAGUGGGGAAUUUUGGACAAUGGGCGCAAGCCUGAUCCAGCAAUGCCGCGUGCGGGAAGAAGGCCUUCGGGUUGUAAACCGCUUUUGGCAGGAACGAAACGGUGUCCGCUAAUACCGGGCGCUAAUGACGGUACCUGCAGAAUAAGCACCGGCUAACUACGUG